AACUGCGACCCCAGGUCAGGCGGGAUUACCCGCUGAGUUUAAGC
rnacentral:rRNA from 1 species